UACGUAGGGGGCUAGCGUUGUCCGGAAUCAUUGGGCGUAAAGCGCGUGUAGGCGGUCCGGUAAGUCCGCUGUGAAAGUCGGGGGCUCAACCCUCGAAUGCCGGUGGAUACUGUCGGGCUAGAGUGCGGAAGAGGCGAGUGGAAUUCCUGGUGUAGCGGUGAAAUGCGCAGAUAUCAGGAGGAACACCAAUGGCGAAGGCAGCUCGCUGGGACGGUACUGACGCUAAGGCGCGAAAGCGUGGGGAGCAAACAGG
rnacentral:rRNA from 1 species